AGUCACUGACAUUAGAUACCCCUGUAGUCCCAGCCAUAAACGAUGUGCGUUAGGUGUAUCGACGACCACGAGUCGUCGAGGUGCCGAAGGGAAACCGUGAAACGUACCGCCUGGGAAGUACGGUCGCAAGGCUGAAACUUAAAGGAAUUGGCGGGGAGCACCACAACAGGUGGAGCCUGCGGUUUAAUUGGACUCAACGCCGGGAAGCUCACCGGAUAGGACAGCAGAAUGAUUGCCGGGCUGAAGACCCUGCAUGACUAGCUG
rnacentral:rRNA from 1 species